rnacentral:lncRNA from 1 species
GAGAAAAUUGUUAAUGGGUGAAUCGCACAACCAGAUGGAUUAAAUACUAUAAUGGUCUUUUUUAAUUUUGUCUGCAAUUUUAUUUUUACUUUCAUUUUUUUAACUUUUCGAAUUUUCCCUCGACUAUUCACAAAUCAAUGGGAUUUUGCCCUUGAUUGUAUUUGCCUCGUCCUUCUUUGUUGGAAACAAAGAAAUGUAAAGCACAUCGGAUAUUAAGUGUUAAAAUAGCAACAAAGGAAAAAACAAAACACCCCAUAUAUCACUUUGAUUUAAGUUUGCAUCUUAUGAUAUGUUUUAUUAUAAACACCCAUUUCUCAUUUUUGUUGUCAAAAUCAUCUCAUCACACGUGAGCUAAGCUGAUUUUUUGUCUCUUUUUUUCGCCAAAAUGAAUGGAUUCGCUGAUGGAGUCUUAAAUACCUAGCCCCCUACUUGGUUUAGUUUGUUGCAAAAAUCAUCUGACCG